rnacentral:tRNA from 1 species
GGAAUAGUAGCUCAGUCGGUAGAGCACUGUCAAUAUACCGCACCAGGGGUCGAUGGUUCGAAUCCAUUCAAUUUCU